GGCUAACGCUGGCGGCGUGUCUUAGCCAUGCAAGUCGAGCGGACUUAUGGGGUAACUUAUAAGUCAGCGGCGGACGGCGGAGUAACACGUAGCUAACCUACCCUCUGGACGGGGAUAACCUACCGAAAGGUGGGCUAAUACCCGAUGUAGUCAUCCUGUAUAGGGGUGAUGAAAGGUGGGCUUCUGUUUACAAGCUCAUGCUGGAGGAGGGGGCUGCGGCCUAUCAGGUAGUUGGUAGGGUAAUAGCCUACCAAGCCGAUGACGGGUAGCCGGCCUGAGAGGGUGACCGGCCCGAGGGGCACUGAGAUACGGGUCCCACUCCUACGGGAGGCAGCAGUAGGGAAUAUUGCGCAAUGGACGGAAGUCUGACGCAGCGACGCCGCGUGAGCGAUGAAGGUCUUCGGAUCGUAAAGCUCUGUCCUUGGGGAAAAGGUCUUCGGACUUGACGGUACCCAAGAAGAAAGCCCCGGCUAACUACGUG
rnacentral:rRNA from 1 species